GACGAACGCUGGCGGCGUGCUUAACACAUGCAAGUCGAACGGAAAGGCCCUGCUUUUGUGGGGUGCUCGAGUGGCGAACGGGUGAGUAACACGUGAGUAACCUGCCCUUGACUUUGGGAUAACUUCAGGAAACUGGGGCUAAUACCGGAUAGGAGCUCCUGCUGCAUGGUGGGGGUUGGAAAGUUUCGGCGGUUGGGGAUGGACUCGCGGCUUAUCAGCUUGUUGGUGGGGUAGUGGCUUACCAAGGCUUUGACGGGUAGCCGGCCUGAGAGGGUGACCGGCCACAGUGGGACUGAGAUACGGCCCAGACUCCUACGGGAGGCAGCAGUGGGGGAUAUUGCACAAGGGGCGGAAGCCUGAUGCAGCAACGCCGCGUGCGGGAUAACGGCCUUCGGGUUGUAAACCGCUUUCGCCUGUGACGAAGCGUGAGUGACGGUAAUGGGUAAAGAAGCACCGGCUAACUACGU
rnacentral:rRNA from 1 species